GCUAUUUAGGUUAGAGUUUGAUCAUGGCUCAGGACGAACGCUGGCGGCGUGCUUUACACAUGCAAGUCGAACGGUGAACCGGUGCUUGCACCGGGGAUCAGUGGCGAACGGGUGAGUAACACGUGAGCAAUCUGCCCCGAACUCUGGGAUAACUGCGGGAAACCGCAGCUAAUACCGGAUACGACCCAAGGAGGCAUCUCCAUUGGGUGGAAAGUUUUUCGGUUCGGGAUGAGCUCGCGGCCUAUCAGCUUGUUGGUGGGGUAAUGGCCCACCAAGGCGACGACGGGUAGCCGGCCUGAGAGGGCGACCGGCCACACUGGGACUGAGACACGGCCCAGACUCCUACGGGAGGCAGCAGUGGGGAAUAUUGCACAAUGGGCGAAAGCCUGAUGCAGCGACGCCGCGUGAGGGACGAAGGCCUUCGGGUUGUAAACCGCUUUCAGGAGGGACGAAGCCACUCGGGUUAAUAGCCCAGAGGGUGACGGUACCUCCAGAAGAAGCCCCGGCUAACUACGUGCCAGCAGCCGCGGUAAU
rnacentral:rRNA from 1 species